rfam:Nocardioides dokdonensis FR1436, complete genome.
CCCGGUCCUCGGUAGUGGCUCUCAGCACCGCCAGUGAGCGGUCUGCGGGCCUCGAUCGAAGACCGGC